rnacentral:rRNA from 1 species
GAUGAACGCUGGCGGCGUGCCUAAUACAUGCAAGUCGAGCGAACAGACGAGGAGCUUGCUCCUCUGACGUUAGCGGCGGACGGGUGAGUAACACGUGGAUAACCUACCUAUAAGACUGGGAUAACUUCGGGAAACCGGAGCUAAUACCGGAUAAUAUAUUGAACCGCAUGGUUCAAUAGUGAAAGACGGUUUUGCUGUCACUUAUAGAUGGAUCCGCGCCGCAUUAGCUAGUUGGUAAGGUAACGGCUUACCAAGGCGACGAUGCGUAGCCGACCUGAGAGGGUGGUCGGCCACACUGGAACUGAGACACGGUCCAGACUCCUGAGGGAGGGAGCAGUAGGGAAUCUUCCGCAAUGGGCGAAAGCCUGACGGAGCGACGCCGCGUGAGUGAUGAAGAUCUUCGGAUCGUAAAACUCUGUUAUUAGGGAAGAACAAAUGUGUAAGUAACUGUGCACGUCUUGACGGUAACUAAUCAGAAAGCCACGGCUAACUACGUG